UACGUAGGGCGCAAGCGUUAUCCGGAAUUAUUGGGCGUAAAGAGCUCGUAGGCGGUUUGUCGCGUCUGCCGUGAAAGUCCGGGGCUCAACUCCGGAUCUGCGGUGGGUACGGGCAGACUAGGGUGAUGUAGGGGAGACUGGAAUUCCUGGUGUAGCGGUGAAAUGCGCAGAUAUCAGGAGGAACACCGAUGGCGAAGGCAGGUCUCUGGGCAUUAACUGACGCUGAGGAGCGAAAGUGUGGGGAGCGAACAGG
rnacentral:rRNA from 1 species